rnacentral:hammerhead_ribozyme from 1 species
AUUCAGCUGACGAGUCCCCCAAAUAGGACGAAACGCACGUCAAACUGGAU